rnacentral:lncRNA from 1 species
CUUUGCAAUUCAUAGAAAAUUUCCAGCUUCUGAUGGAAUCUUUUAGUUGAUCACUGGCUUUAACAAAUCAGUAGAGUACUAGUAAUCCAGUACUGAUAGAAUCUCAAUUUUUGUGAGGAGCUGGAUUGCUUGUUGAUAAAUAGAACCUCUGUUUUUUUCCUGCUUCCAGGAUUUGGUGAAGAAAUAUUCUGAAUUCAUCAACUUCCCAAUCUAUUUGUGGGCAAGUAAAGAGGUUGACGUGGAUGUUCCUGCUGACGAAGAUGAGUCUGGUGAUGAAGAUGAAACAAGUAUGCAUUGUCUAAUGGCAGUGUAUAAUGCUUAUUAUUCUAGUACUGAGUUUCAUGAUGUGCUAUAAUUUAAUCUUGUGGUUUGCUUUUGUUUACCCUGCUGUUAUCAGCUGCUGAAAGCAGCUCUUCUGAUGAUGGAGAUUCUGAGAAAAGUGAAGAUGAGGACGCCGAGGAUAAACCAAAAACCAAAAAAAUUAAGGAGACUACUUAUGAGUGGGAACUUUUGAAUGAUGUUAAGGCUAUAUGGUUGAGAAAUCCAAAGGAGGUGACAGAAGAAGAGUACACAAAAUUCUACCACUCUCUAGCAA